GAUGAACGCUAGCGGCAGGCCUAAUACAUGCAAGUCGAACGGGAUUAAGAGGCUUGCUUCUUAUGAGAGUGGCGCACGGGUGCGUAACACGUAUGCAACCUACCUUUAACUGGGGGAUAGCCUUCCGAAAGGGAGAUUAAUACCGCAUAACAUAAUUGAACGGCAUCGUUUGAUUAUCAAACUUCCAAGGGUUAAAGAUGGGCAUGCGUCCGAUUAUUUAGUUGGUGAGGUAACGGCUCACCAAGGCAUCGAUCGGUAGGGGAGCUGAGCGGAUGACCCCCCACACUGGUACUGAGACACGGACCAGACUCCUACGGGAGGCAGCAGUAAGGAAUAUUGGUCAAUGGACGCAAGUCUGAACCAGCCAUGCCGCGUGCAGGAAGACGGUCCUCUGGAUUGUAAACUGCUUUUGUUAGGGAAGAAACAUCCCGACGUGUCGGGACUUGACGGUACUGUAGGAAUAAGGAUCGGCUAACUCCGUGCCAGCCGCCGCUGUAAUAC
rnacentral:rRNA from 1 species